GCUCAAUGCAAAUGAUGCUUCUCUCCUCAAGUUUCAUAUUCAAACUGGAAUAUUAUUCCCAUUCUCCUGUUUUCACCUUGCUUAUAUGCUAGUCCAAGUGAUAAUUACCUAAUAUGCUAAAAAUUAUAAUACAGUGUGAAAGUUCUGUGUGAUAUUAGUAAAAGAUUACUGGAGCUCUGAGGAAGGAAUGAUUUACAAUGGAGAAUAAGAGAGACUUCAAAAACGUGUUCUGGGAGCUGCAUACUGAAGACAGAAAUUCAUGGACUACUCAAGAAAUAGUGUGGCCUUCAGGAUGAAAUAUGGAGUGAACAGUGGCAGGCCACAGUCACAUUAAAAAGGGUCUUAAAUUUCUUGCUAAGGAAAGUGAAGGAACACUAAGUAAAAGCAGAAUCUCAUCAGAUUAUGUCUUCAGCAGUGUGAAGAAUCUUUAAAAUUUGGCCCUAGUCCUAUAGACAUGGGAGUCACUGGAGGAGCAUAAAGGUAGAUCUGGCAUUUCUCCUCUGGAGAAAUUCAUUAGGGGGCUGCUUUAGUAGAUGGAAAGAUGAUAACCAGGAAAGUGUCAGUGACUGGGGCAGAUAGAAAGAUUUCAGGAAUAGUAUGGGAGACGCUCAUUGCUCUAUGUCAUCUGCACUCAUAGCUGAAGCUUUCUCUGAUUAAUUCUGGCAAAUGUCACCGUGGUGACUUUGUUCCCUAGGCUAGCUAUCACAGUACUUUAG
rnacentral:lncRNA from 1 species